rnacentral:rRNA from 1 species
GACGACGCUUGCGGCGUGCCUAAGAAAUGCAAGUCGAGCGAGCUCAAGCCUUCGGGCGGAAAGCUAGCGGCGAACGGUCGAGUAACACGUGAGCAACCUGCCCCAAAGCGGGGGAUAGCCCACCGAAAGGCGGAUUAAUACCGCAUGUGGCCGUUCCGGGGCAUCCCGGGACGAUUAAAGCAGCAAUGCGCUUUGGGAUGGGCUCGCGGCCUAUCAGCUUGUUGGUGGGGUAACGGCCUACCAAGGCUACGACGGGUAGCUGGUCUGAGAGGAUGGUCAGCCGGAUUGGGACUGAGACACGGCCCAGACUCCUACGGGGGGCAGCAAUUAGGAAUCUUGCGCAAUGGGCGAAAGCCUGACGCAGCGACGCCGCGUGACCGACGAAGUCCUUCAGGAUGUAAAGGUCUUUUGCCAGGGAAGAAGAUCUGACGGUACCUGGCGAAUAAGCCCCGGCUAACUACGUG